AUUGAACGCUGGCGGCAUGCUUUACACAUGCAAGUCGAACGGCAGCGCGGGCUUCGGCCUGGCGGCGAGUGGCGAACGGGUGAGUAAUACAUCGGAACGUGCCCAGUAGUGGGGGAUAGCUCGGCGAAAGCCGGAUUAAUACCGCAUACGACCUGAGGGUGAAAGCGGGGGAUCUUCGGACCUCGCGCUAUUGGAGCGGCCGAUGGCAGAUUAGCUAGUUGGUGGGGUAAAGGCCUACCAAGGCGACGAUCUGUAGCUGGUCUGAGAGGACGACCAGCCACACUGGGACUGAGACACGGCCCAGACUCCUACGGGAGGCAGCAGUGGGGAAUUUUGGACAAUGGGCGAAAGCCUGAUCCAACAAUGCCGCGUGUGUGAUGAAGGCCUUCGGGUUGUAAAGCACUUUUGGCGGGAACGAAAAGGACUGUGCCAAUACCACGGUUCGAUGACGGUACCCGCAGAAUAAGCACCGGCUAACUACGUG
rnacentral:rRNA from 1 species